GUAUUCUUCGUCCCGAUUAGUUGAGUUUUAAGUUCUUGUAACCAUAAUUGUUAGAUUACAAUAGUUUUGUCCCAUAUUAUUCCAACAUGGAGAAGACCCAACGUCGUAGCUUUUACAUUCUUCAACCUUCUGACUGACAUGAAGGCCUCGGAUCUUCGACCAUGGAAACUAUGUGGGCUAUUGAUUCCCAUUGAAAGGAAAUGAGUAAUUCGUUCCUUCAAUUUUCAUUGCCGGAAAAUUCCUUCCUCUAACUCGGACGACGACAACUCGCUUCACCGCGCCGUUCUCUACCGGCCCAGCUCGCUUUUCGUCACUCACUCCGCCACUUUUCUCGCCCAGGGCUUCUCGCACCUUCUCUCCGACAAGGUCUUCUGGUGCUCAUUUUGUGACCAAUGAGGUUACUAUUCGAUUUCGUUGAGGCACUGAAGAAAAAUGUAUAUAAUGCAUAUGAGGGAUCUGCUGUUUUACUGUCUGCUACUCGUUCUAGUUCCUUACUAUUUCGAGCCUUUGUGAGGAGUGGUUUUCUCGUAUAUGUAAGCCAAUGAUGAAUGCUGGAUUAGCUCUACAAUGCUAUGAUGCUACAAUUCAGUAUUGUGCUCUGCAUUUACAGGAGCUCAGGAAUCUUGUGGCUUCAGCUUUGAAUGAAAAGUCUAGGUCACAAGUAACUGAGAACCUCCAUAGUAUCAGGGGCAGAUUUUUGGCAGACAUCUUGAGAGUUUUAUGACACAUGGCAUUGGCUUUGUGUAAGAAUCACGAAUCAGAGGCUUGACUUGGCCUGGAAAAAUGGGUUUCAAUGACACUCUCUCCCUUUCUUGUGGAGGAAAACCGGUCCCUCAGUAACAGUAGGACGUUGGGACCCUUUACUUGGGUCACUGGGCUUGUAUAUCAGGCAGAAGGUAAAUAGGAAAGGCUGCUGCGCACUUUAUUCACUUGCUACAGACUGAGGAGUUGUUGAGUUCCUUGGGUUCUGAUGGUGUACAGUUUGUCAUUGCAUGCAUCAUUGAGUGUUAUACUUCUGCUUAUGAUUGGUAGAAUCCUGGUUAUCAGAGUUGCAUACACUUCGUGCUAAACAUGCUGGGAAGAGUUAUUGCGGUGCUCUGACAACAACGGGUAAUGAAAUUAAUGCAGUUCAUUCCUUGGCAUGGUAUGAUGAGUGUGAAUUUCAGGCAGCAAGGGCAUGCCUUGGUUUGACACCUAAAAGUAGCAGUGAGCUCACACUUGAUCCGAAAUUGGCCUUGCAAAGAAGUGAGCAGAUGCUUUUACAGGCAAUGCUUCUUUAGAAUGAGGGGAAGGAAAAUAAGAUGCCACAUGAAUUACAGAAGGCCAGAUCAAUGCUGGAGGAAACAUUGUCUAUUUCGCCGCUUGAUAGGUUAAAAGAAGCAGCAGCAUAUGCUACCCAGUUGCACUGCAUCAUUGCAUUUGAAGAAUUUUACAAGAUUAAAGGCACCCAAGAUAAACCCAGGCAACUUCAGUCAAUAUUAAGUUCAUAUGUCCGACUUAUGCAUCCACAAAUGGGUAGAGUCCUUCAAGAUUGUAACACUUGGUUAAAAGUUCUGCGAGUUUAUCAAACCAUUUCCCCAAUUUCUCCUGCUACUCUAAAGCUUUCUAUGAAUUUGUUGGGCUUGACCCGCAAACAACGAAAACCUACUGUUGGAAAACCUCUGAACUAUCUCAAAGAUUACACAUUGAGAUGCUCUGGGGAAAGCCACCAUGACUUUCUCACCUCAAAUCCUGCUAAUGCAUGCUGAAAACAAGUUUGAAGAUGCUUUGACGAACCUUUGGUCUUUUGUGUGUCCUUGCAGGUUUUCUUCACCGUCUAUAGUUUCUGAUGCUGAGUAUCAGGCCAAGGCAUGCUUGAAACUCUCAAAUUGGCUUAAACAGAACUAUUUAGAUUUGAGGCUAGAUGAUCUUGUUCUUAAUAUGCAGUCAGACUUUGAGAUGGCUGAUUCCUCUUCUCCUGGAAGAGGAAGGCCCUCAUUUGGCGAUGAGAGAUUAAGCUCUAAACCACCUUUGGGUCCUAUCAUUGAGGAAAUUGUGGGCACAGCUACAAAAUUGUCUACUCAUCUCUGCUCAAUUUUGGGAAAAUCCUGGAUUUCUUAUGCCUCUUGGUGUUUUAGUAUGGCCCGGGGCUCUCUCUUAACCCCAAAUGAAAAUACCCUUCACUCAUGCUCCUUUUUACCCAUCCUUGUUCAUGAAGUUCUGCCUGAGAGAUUCUAGCUAACUGAAGAUGAGAUCAUAAAAGUGGAACUUUGAUUUUACAGCUUGUCCAGAAUAAGGAUGACGAGGGUUGUAGAGCUGAACAGGGAGAGUCGAACUACUCUCUUGAUUCAGCUGAACUGAGAAAUGCAACCCUGUGAUGGCUUUGGUACAGCAAGUAGUGAAUAUUAUUGAAGCUGUUUCUGGGGCACCUGGUGCAGAAGAUUGCAGUGACAAUUGCCUUUCUGCUACUCUAGCUUCUCGGUUGAAGAUCUGCUUUCUUUGUGCAAAUUUUGGCCUAAAUGAAACUGACAUAAUUUCUGUAGUUGAUCAUUUGGUUGUUGUUUGGUGGUCUUUGAGGAGGAGAAGAGUGUCACACUUUCGGUAUGCAACUCAUGGCUAUAUAAAGUAUAUUUUGUAUUCAUCUGCAAAAAUUUGCAAUCAUGGCUUGGCUGACUCUGAUUUUGAGCCUCUGAAGCAAAAAGCUGGCAGCAAUACUCUGAGGGCUACAUUGUAUGUCCUACAUAUUCUUCUCAUAUAUGGAGCAGAGUUGAAAUAUGUACUUGAACCUGCUCUUUCAACAGUUCCUUUGUCACCAACCAUGGCAGGAAGUAACUUCUGAAUUGCUUGCUCGGUUAAGUUCUCAUCCCGAGCAAGUGGUUCAGAAGCAGUUGGAGGGCUCACAAAUGAUGCUGGCCAAGCAAUCUCCUUGGUCCAUUGUCCACCCAACACUAGUUGAUGUGGAUGCUCAUGAAGAAAAGCCUUCAGAGGAGCUUCAGCACAUACUUGGUUGUUUGGUAAGGAAAUUUCUUUCAUUAUUUUUUUUUCAGGAUGUUGUGCAUUUAGUGCAAUACAAUUAGACUCAAACAGAAUUGACGGAAAGGACUAGUGGUGUAACACGAGAUCUACUUGGUGGGAGGAUGUAGCUAUUUUUGGAGAUUAAGGCCGCAUCUGUAACUUGGGGUAUAAUUCAGGGACCAUUGCUACAUUUUAGUCAUAUAUUUAUGACUGGGAUCACAUAUGAUGUAGUAUGACAAGGAUUGUUUUUAGUCUAUAAUGAUGUUGAAUUCUAU